CGUUAGCGGCGGACGGGUGAGUAACACGUGGGCAACCUGCCUGUAAGACUGGGAUAACUCCGGGAAACCGGAGCUAAUACCGGAUAACAUUUUCUCUUGCAUAAGACAAAAUUGAAAGAUGGUUUCGGCUAUCACUUACAGAUGGGCCCGCGGUGCAUUAGCUAGUUGGUGAGGUAACGGCUCACCAAGGCAACGAUGCAUAGCCGACCUGAGAGGGUGAUCGGCCACACUGGGACUGAGACACGGCCCACACUCCUACGGGAGGCAGCAGUAGGGAAUCUUCCGCAAUGGACGAAAGUCUGACGGAGCAACGCCGCGUGAGUGAUGAAGGCUUUCGGGUCGUAAAACUCUGUUGUUAGGGAAGAACAAGUACAAGAGUAACUGCUUGUACCUUGACGGUACCUAACCAGAAAGCCACGGCUAACUACGUGCCAGCAGCCGCGGUAAUACGUAGGUGGCAAGCGUUAUCCGGAAUUAUUGGGCGUAAAGCGCGCGCAGGCGGUUUCUUAAGUCUGAUGUGAAAGCCCACGGCUCAACCGUGGAGGGUCAUUGGAAACUGGGGAACUUGAGUGCAGAAGAGAAAAGCGGAAUUCCACGUGUAGCGGUGAAAUGCGUAGAGAUGUGGAGGAACACCAGUGGCGAAGGCGGCUUUUUGGUCUGUAACUGACGCUGA
rnacentral:rRNA from 1 species